GUAAUGUGAAUUGCAGAAUUCAGUGAAUCAUCGAAUCUUUGAACGCACAUUGCGCCUGGCAGUAUUCUGCCAGGCAUGCCUGUCCGAGCGUCAUUUCACCACUCAAGACUCUUUUGUUCUUGGGCGUUGGGAGGUCCUGUUCUCCCCUGAACAGGCCGCCGAA
rnacentral:rRNA from 1 species